rnacentral:rRNA from 1 species
GGUGGCUAAUACCGCAUAACGUCGCAAGACCAAAGAGGGGGACCUUCGGGCCUCUUGCCAUCAGAUGUGCCCAGAUGGGAUUAGCUUGUUGGUGAGGUAAUGGCUCACCAAGGCGACGAUCCCUAGCUGGUCUGAGAGGAUGACCAGCCACACUGGAACUGAGACACGGUCCAGACUCCUACGGGAGGCAGCAGUGGGGAAUAUUGCACAAUGGGCGCAAGCCUGAUGCAGCCAUGCCGCGUGUAUGAAGAAGGCCUUCGGGUUGUAAAGUACUUUCAGCGGGGAGGAAGGUGUUGCGGUUAAUAACCGCAGCAAUUGACGUUACCCGCAGAAGAAGCACCGGCUAACUCCGUGCCAGCAGCCGCGGUAAUACGGAGGGUGCAAGCGUUAAUCGGAAUUACUGGGCGUAAAGCGCACGCAGGCGGUCUGUCAAGUCGGAUGUGAAAUCCCCGGGCUCAACCUGGGAACUGCAUUCGAAACUGGCAGGCUUGAGUCUUGUAGAGGGGGGUAGAAUUCCAGGUGUAGCGGUGAAAUGCGUAGAGAUCUGGAGGAAUACCGGUGGCGAAGGCGGCCCCCUGGACAAAGACUGACGCUCAGGUGCGAAAGCGUGGGGAGCAAACAGGAUUAGAUACCCUGGUAGUCCACGCCGUAAACGAUGUCUACUUGGAGGUUGUGCCCUUGAGGCGUGGCUUCCGGAGCUAACGCGUUAAGUAGACCGCCUGGGGAGUACGGCCGCAAGGUUAAAACUCAAAUGAAUUGACGGGGGCCCGCACAAGCGGUGGAGCAUGUGGUUUAAUUCGAUGCAACGCGAAGAACCUUACCUGGUCUUGACAUCCACAGAACUUUCCAGAGAUGGAUUGGUGCCUUCGGGAACUGUGAGACAGGUGCUGCAUGGCUGUCGUCAGCUCGUGUUGUGAAAUGUUGGGUUAAGUCCCGCAACGAGCGCAACCC